UUUCAUCGAGGCUACCAUUGGAUUUGCAUCCUCCAAACUGGAGCCAAUGAAAUGCAUAAGAUAAGUGAACAAAAUGAAGAGAAGCCUUGGGAAACAAAUGACGUUCAAAACGACCUGGUACACCACUUGCAAAGUAUUGCAUGUUUGAUGGAAAAGGUUGUUGAAAUCAUUUGAGAAAGUUCAUUGAAAAGUGCUUGAAAUUUAAGAUUGUAUUGAUUAUGGGUGCCAUAAGAUUGGUACUUUAAUUUUAUAGAUUAUGAUGUUUUUCAUCGCGAUGACCAAAUUAGGCCUAGCGGAGCAUUCCAAAUCUACAAUAGUGAAAGCUUUUGAAGGGGAAGAAAAAAUGAUUUGCUUUUAAUUAAGCUUCACAGAAAUUGCCUCAUUGAUCAAAACUAAGGCAUUCUCAACUUCUUAUCUCUGCCAACACUUUUUUUUUAAAAAAAAACACAAACACUUUUCAUUAUAAUUUAUGUUAACAUAAGCCCUACAAGCCUAUCUGUGGUUUUAUGGGAAUUGCAAUUUUGAGAUA